UCCCUGCUGGUCCAGUGCUUAAGACUUUGCACUCCCAAUGCAGGGGGUCCAAGUUCAAUCCCUGGUCAAGGAG
rnacentral:tRNA from 1 species